UUUGAAGUUUUUUCCCUACCCCAGCUAGUAACAGAUCGCCCACAUCCACGAUCCCGCGGCCCUGCCUUCCGCCGGCCCUGCGCCGACCGCUCCGAUCUCGCGAUCCUGCGUCCCGCCGGCGACCCGUGCCCCGCCCCACGCCGUCCCGGUGAGGUUCUGCGCCGACCGCUCCCGUCCCACCCCUGUGUCGCCGGCUCCCGCGACUCCCUGCGCCGUCGGCUCCCGUCACGCCUGCGCCGCCGAUUCCCCCGGUGUUCGUCGUCACCAGCAAGAUUAAUUGUCGCACAACGACUGGGGCCACCUCCAUCUGCUGCGGCAGGUGUGGCGUGGCACAUUUGGGCAUGAGGGGAGGAUGCUGUCAUGAGACGUAGUCGUUGCCAAGUACGUCAGGUUGCCACCACCACCAAAGUCGCAGUAGCCGAAGUCAACGGCUGUGAACUAGGCUGGUUCAUGGUGAGGAUACUGUGCGAGUAUAUCUUCUGUCCUCGAUUGUAUCAGGUGGAGCAAGAAGUAGCAUAUUUGGUUAUAGUACUUGGUUGCAUGUAAAUUCUUUGAGCGAAUGCCUAUACUCUGCGAAUUAAGUUGUAUAUUGCAUUUUUAACAACUGUUUUCCCUAUCAAAUAGUUUGAUUAUAACUGUAUGCAACGAUUCAUGAAUCAAGUUGUAUAUUGCGAAUUAAGUUUGAUUAUAACUGGUAUGCAACAUUGUACUAUCCUUACUCUUCAAAAUUCAUGAUCAAUUCAAGCACACUUCUUCUGGUAUGUUUUAUAUUUAUUAAUGCAUACUUCUGAGUUUACAUUGAAAAAGGUGCAACUUGCUGUUUGAUUACAAGCAAAACAGGUGCUUCGUGAGACGUCUCUGCAGAGCAGUUUCAGCAAUAGGUGGUGUGGUUGUUUGCCAUCAUCAACCACACGGCGGCAUCUCUGACUUCAUAUGGCUGUGCAGCUCUUGGCAGGAAAUGGGUGAAUUCAAGGAGCUGAUGCACAGCGGUGGUGCUGUGGAGAGGUGAGCUAUGGUAAGAGUGGAUGCUGCAGUCUAGCAGACAUGGCAUGCAGACAUCACACCACUGCAAACAGGUGAGAACAAAUGAAUUAUUUUCUUAUUGUUGUCAACAAAUGAACUAGUACCAAAUAAUAAUUAAUGCAUUACUGAAUCCAUGUGAAAGUCUCAGACCUGUGAUGUCUUGGCGCCUGCAUGUAUAACUGAAUUCAUGUGAAGUAUCUUGAACCAAUGAUGUCUUAGCACCUGCUUUCAGACAAGAGCCUCUUUGAUGAAAUUUAAUCUAGUGAUAUGGCUGCCAUUGGAGCUGGCCAUGCUGACUUCCUGCAAAACUUUCAGACGGUUUUGCAAAUUCCUUCCUGCUAGUUCAUUUUGGCAUAGCAUUGUCGUCAGUUUGUUCUUCAGCUCACAUUCAUUUUGUUUUGGCUCUUGUGUGAUAUUUGUUCUGUAAAUCAUUAAAAGGACCUGGUUUGUUGCUAAAUAAAUUUAACUUAACCUUGUAUAUGGAAUAUAUUUGGAUCAAUACACUUUCUUUAUUAUUCCAUAUGUUCUGAAGCUUUAGCCCCUCCAUACAUUAUGGUUCAUGAAUCAUGAUACUAGUUUGCGCGAUCAAUAUGCUUUAUCUUAUCUGAAAUGCUUACGGUAUCCCCGAUUGGCUUCGUGUAGUCAUGUUUGAUACGGAUAUUGUGAGUUGCUGUCUCUGCAGUGAUGAUGGGAUCGGUCCUGCUGGCAUCUUGUCAAGCCCAUUCUGACUGUAACAAGCUGCAGGAGAUAUGGAUUUCAGGAAGUAAAAUUGCAGGAGAGCAAGGAGCUCGCUGCUGGCGCAUCUCAGAGGGAGGAGCAAGGCUCUGUGGCCAUUGCAAGGUUGAUGACAAUGGCAAGCACAGCAGGGAUCGGCUGCCCAGGAAACAGAUUGUGCCAGCAAAAACUUAUUCCUUAGAGUUGCACAAUCUCUGUGUUGUAUUAGUAUUCGGUUCAAGCGAGAUGCAGAACUUAUUGACCCUGUUCUCUUCAUGGUUGCUGUCUCUUUGAUUCCAGGUUGUAAACUGUAGUGAUGUAUUUCCCCAGGGGUGAAAGUUUAGCCUGCUUCAUUAAAAAUAUUACAUUGUGUUUUUGUGAUCCAACAUAUUAUUAGUUAUAUCCAGGUUCGCUUUGUCUCA